UACAGAGGUCUCAAGCGUUGUUCGGAUUCAUUGGGCGUAAAGGGUGCGUAGGCGGCGCGGUAAGUCGGGUGUGAAAUCUUGGAGCUUAACUCCGAAACUGCAUUCGAUACUGCCGUGCUUGAGGACUGGAGAGGAGACUGGAAUUUGACGGUGAGCGGUGAAAUGCGUAGAUAUCGUAAGGAAGACCAGUGGCGAAGGCGGGUCUCUGGACAGUUCCUGACGCUGAGGCACGAAGGCCAGGGGAGCAAACGGG
rnacentral:rRNA from 1 species